GAAUAUUCCACCUGAAAUGUAGACGAAUGAUCUACAAAAAUGUAGAUGAUGAUUUUUUUUUUGAAAAAAAAAAAAAUAUGAUGAAUUUUGGCACAAAAAAACGCCAUAGUACAUUAAGUCGAAAGAAAUGCUGUUUUUCAACAUGUUGUAAAAACGUGCCAUAUGAUGAAAUAAUGUAAAGGAGGGUGUGAAAAACACUCCAGAAAGGUUUUCUUUGAAAAAAAAAAUCAUAAUGAAUUUUGGCGCAAAAAAAACGCCUUACUAUACUAUGUCGAAAAAAAAUGGGAUUUUUCAAACAUGUUGUAAAAACGUGUCACAUGAUGAAAUAAUGUAAAGGAGGCCGUGAAAAACACUCCAGAAAGGUUUUCUCUGAAAAAAAAAUCAUCAUGAAUUUUGGCGCAAAAAAAACGCCUUACUAUACUAUGUCGAAAAAAAAUGCAAUUUUUCAAACAUGUUGUAAAAACGUGUCAUAUGAUGAAAUAAUGUAAAGGAGGCCGUAAAAAAUACUCCAGAAAGGUUUUCUUUGAAAAAAAAAUCAUCAUGAAUUUUGGCGCAAAAAAAACGCCUUACUAUACUAUGUCGAAAAAAAAUGGGAUUUUUCAAACAUGUUGUAAAAACGUGCCAUAUGAUGAAAUAAUGUAAAGGAGGCCGUAAAAAACACUCCAGAAAGGUUUUCUUUGAAAAAAAAAGCAUCAUGAAUUUUGGCGCAAAAAAACGCCUUACUAUACUAUGUCGAAAAAAAAUGCGAUUUUUCAGCAUGUUGUCAAAAUGUGUCACAUGAUGAAAUAAUGUAAAGGAGGCCGUGAAAAACACUCCAGAAAGGUUUUCUUUGAAAAAAAAAUCAUCAUGAAUUUUGGCGCAAAAAAAAACGCCUUACUAUACUAUGUCGAAAAAAAAUGGGAUUUUUCAAACAUGUUGUAAAAACGUGCCAUAUGAUGAAAUAAUGUAAAGGAGGCCGUGAAAAACACUCCAGAAAGGUUUUCUUUGAAA
ensembl:lncRNA